AGUGAACGCUGGCGGUAGGCCUAACACAUGCAAGUCGAACGGCAGCACAGUAAGAUCUUGCUCUUACGGGUGGCGAGUGGCGGACGGGUGAGGAAUACAUCGGAAUCUACUUUUUCGUGGGGGAUAACGUAGGGAAACUUACGCUAAUACCGCAUACGACCUACGGGUGAAAGCAGGGGAUCUUCGGACCUUGCUCGAUUGAAUGAGCCGAUGUCGGAUUAGCUAGUUGGCUGGGUAAAGGCCCACCAAGGCGACGAUCCGUAGCUGGUCUGAGAGGAUGAUCAGCCACACUGGAACUGAGACACGGUCCAGACUCCUACGGGAGGCAGCAGUGGGGAAUAUUGGACAAUGGGCGCAAGCCUGAUCCAGCAAUACCGCGUGGGUGAAGAAGGCCUUCGGGUUGUAAAGCCCUUUUGUUGGGAAAGAAAAGCAGCAGGUUAAUACCCCGCUGUUUUGACGGUACCCAAAGAAUAAGCAACGGCUAACUUCGUG
rnacentral:rRNA from 1 species